UUUUCAUUUGGCCCACCUGAGCAACAACACUUAUUGGUCGGCAACCCCUAUUGGUGGUGAGUCAAUUAGGCCAGCACGUUAAGACCUACAUAUACCCCGUGUGCCCUACAGCCAUUUAGGUACGUUCCUCCAUUAGAGCAGUAGACAUGGCUCGGCAGACGGCGCUCCGGAUCUUCCUAGUGGUGGCGAUGGCGAUGGCGAUGACGAUGACGGUGUCAGUCGCCGAAGUUCUGCAAAACGUCUCCCAGGGAGUCGAUGACGAGUGGCCUGCGUUGAACGACGCCUUACUUGACAGGAUGUUGGGCGAUUUCAACUUGGCUGGUGUGGUCGAAGCUGCCGUCGACACAGUCACUACAGUCAACAAACGUGCUGCCGAUUCCGACUCCUGGGCGAGAUUCCUGAAGGAGGAGAAGGAUGGCGAGGAGCAGGAUGAGGAUGAAGAGCAGGAUGAGGAUGAAGAGCAGGG